rnacentral:rRNA from 1 species
UGACCCCAGGUCAGGCGGGGCUACCCGCUGAGUUUAAGCAUAUCAAUAAGCGGAGGAAAAGAAACUUACGAGGAUUCCCCUAGUAACGGCGAGCGAACCGGGAAAAGCCCAGGUUGAGAAUCGAGCACCCCCGGUGUUCGA